ensembl:lncRNA
AUGGGCUGCUCAUCGUCCAGCACGCAGACGCUCGCGCAGGAGAACCGACCGGGCGUCAAAGCGGAGGAGGCGAGCGGAGAAACUCUGCUCUCUCGUAAUGGGAUUGUAGCAGAAGACAGCGAGACCGAGACGGUGGAGGAUGUCCAGCCUGUGGCCUCAGAAGCAGAGCAGCCAAUGGUCAGCGCCAAUGAUGCUCCUCUGGAGGAGAGAGAUCCAGCAGACGCUCCUGAAACAUCGAGUCCUGAAGCUCCUGCUGAAGAGCAGCGAGAUGUUCAUGCUGCAUCAGAACCCAGUGACACUACGUCUGCAGAACCCUCUCUAGCUGUGGAACCAGCAUCAGAUCUCAGCAGCACUCCAGAACCCAAUCCAACUGAGCUAACAGCAGCUCCAGAAGCCCUGUCAGACGCGAGCUCGGAGCCCACACUAGAGCAACCAACUCCAGCUCCAGAACCCAUUCCAGUGGAAGUUAGCCCUGUUCCAGAGCUCACUGUGUCUGAGCCUGUCGCGAGUGCAGAAUCAGCUUCUGCUGAGGAUCCGACUGUGUCUCCAGAACCCACUGCAGUGGAACCAAGCCCAGCUCUAGAGUCAACUCCAGCUCCAGAACCCACGGCCGAGGAACCGAGUCCAGCUCCAGAACCCACGACUGAGGAACCGAGUCCAGCUCCAGAACCCACGUCCGAGGAACCGAGACCAGCUCCAGAACCCACGACUGAGGAACCGAGUCCAGAACCCACGGCCGAGGAACCGAGUCCAGCUCAAGCGACUGAGGCAGCGGUGGUCUCACAGGCUGCAGAGGAGAAUGCGACCUGCGCAGACGCUUCAGAGGGAGCGGCCGGUGAGGAGAUCGCAGCAGAUGCGGCUGUGCUCGGUGAAGACGGAGCUGAUCUGAAAUCCACAGAACCUGCAGAAUGAUGUCAAUGUGUUCUUGUGACACUGUAAGACGUGCCUUGUAUUUCAGUAGACAUGAGGGUUUGGGCUUCACAUAAGUUUGUACAUAAAUUAGUGUUUCUAAGUAGCAUCAUCAUCAUUAGCAUUGUUGUUAAAAGCCACAGAAAUGCCUCUGAGAGCGCAGGGUCCCGUGGGUCACCGGCUGAGCGUGGGACGAAUGUUUGUGCUUCUGGAUAAAAUCACAGCAUCAUGUCCUCAUCUUCAACUGAGUCAAACACAAAAGCAAUAUUAACUCAUCUGAACACACACGAGCCAAAACUCAAUAACUGUGAAAUUAUGCUUAAUAAUGUGUCUUUUAAUGGGUCAGAAGGGCUUCGUCUCUUUUAUCUAUUUAGUGCAUUUUUCACCUCAGACUGCAGAUGAACAGCAGUUAAUGAAAAGCAGUUUGACUCUUUACUUGCAUUAAUCAAUGAUGCAGAAAGGCAAACGCUAGCAUAUUAAUCAAUAGUAUAUGUUGUUGGUUUAUUUUAUUAUAGUUUGUGGUGAUUGAUAGUUACACUUAAACUCCAGAGCACUAAUAAAGCUCAUCUGAUCAGCUUUAAACCGAGACCU